rnacentral:rRNA from 1 species
GCCUAUGACCAUACCACCCUGAAUAUGCCCAAUCUGAAUAUGCCUUAUCUCAGAAGCUAAGCAGGGUCAGGCCUGGUUACUACUUAGAUGGGAGACCCCUGGGAAUACCAGGUGCUGUAGGAU